GACGAACCGUGCAAACGUUAUUCGGAAUCACUGGGCAUAAAGGGCGCGUAGGCGGUCAAGCACGUCCGGGGUGAAAGCCUCCAGCUCAACUGGAGAAGUGCCUCGGAUACGGCUCGACUCGAGGGGGGUAGGGGCGUGUGGAACUUCCGGUGGAGCGGUGAAAUGCGUAGAUAUCGGAAGGAACGCCGGUGGCGAAAGCGGCACGCUGGACCCCUUCUGACGCUGAGGCGCGAAAGCCAGGGGAGCAAACGGG
rnacentral:rRNA from 1 species